GAAAUCUUAUAUGACCAACGACAUAAACCAGUCCCCUUCCUCACCCCUCGAAGGUUCCCCUCACAACAAUUCAUCCGUCCAUACAGAACAUCCCAGGAUGGACACCUCGAACCUUAUAAAGGAAGUCAACAUCAUGACCCAAGGCGACCUAGAUAAGCUUAGGGAAAAUACUCUUUUUGUCCCGAGAUCCAAAUCAGGAUCCCUAAAGAGAGCGAGAUGAUACUAUUGACCCGCCUAAGUGAGGUGUUUUUUUAUGAAGCUACCUUUCCAGCUGGUUUAAGGUUCCCUAUUCACCCCAUUAUUAGGAGGAUUUUUAACCAUUAUAAAAUAUGCCCUGCCUAACUUUUGCCCAAUGCUUGGCGGUGCGUCAUCUGCUCGUUGGUGACAUGGCAAUAUUAUAAGCGCCAUAUGUCAUGCGACGAGUUUAGGUGCAUGUACUCUCUCAACCUGUUGCCAGAUUUGGGGUGGUUUUACUUCAAGGCGAGGCCCAACAAGAACUUACUCAGAGGGUCGCCGAGCAAUGUGAAAGGGUGCAAGAGGAGGUUCUUCUUAGCGUCUGGAGGUGAAUGGGAGUUUUUUAUGAGUAUGCCUCCAAGUGUAGGAAUCCCGCGAGUCCCUAGAUCUUGGGGCGUGCCAGGUAAGCCCCUCUCUUUUGUGUUAUUUUAUUUUAAAGUAUUUUAUUUUACCUUUCUGAUAUUAAUGAUUAUUUUAGAGAAACGCUGCAACAAGCUACCUGCCUUGACUAAGAUCGAGGCUAAGAGGACAGCGGAGGUUCUCGGAAAGAUAAAGCCGGGGGGCUAUUUCGAGGUGUCAAAGGUCUUAGCUUCCAAGACCUUCUAGAGGUACUUUUCCUAUGGUCGCAUGGAGAUAUCUUCCAAUGGUAGGGAGAACACUACUUUGGGCGACGAGUGUGUGUCCUGUCCUUCCUAAGGCGACCUUCGGCGUGGUAGUCCUUCCUGAAGUGACUCGGUAGAAUGCCUAGGUGUUAUUAGGAGGGAUGUAAGGAGAAUAUCUAAGAAGGCUUUUCCUGACAUUCCUGACUUGACUUUGCUUAGGUGGCUUAGCGGAAAGUUCGAGAUCCCUAUUCAAAUCUCUUCCUUAGUAGUCUAAGCUCCCAUUCGGACUCAAAAUUGGAAUCUUUAUUAGAUCAGGGCUCUCCCCCAAGCUUAGAUUUAAUGGUAUAGUCUUUUAACCUCCCGGUCUAUUUUAUUUCAUUCGUUGUAUGAUGUCUGUUUUUAUUUUGCCGCUAUGUUGUCGCGGAUCAACCUAUCCACGCUUAUUAAAAUGGAUGGGGAGAAGAAAGCUACAACCAAGGAUACGAGCUCGGUGGUGACGUCCAAUCCCCCCGAAAGGGAUUGUCAUCCAAAAGAAGCGACCUCGGGAUGAUGCCCAUGACCCUGCACCCACCAAGAAGGGCGAAGUGGACCACCCCCACCCAAGAGGACUAAAUCUAAUAAGGGGCGAGCAUUGCGGCUAGGAGAUCGUUGGCGCCAGGGGGUCCCUCCACUUCGCUGGGCAACAGUCUAGGUUCCGGAGUUUCGAUGAUGUCGAGUGCUCCUGUGGCACGAAAGAUACUGAACGGAAUAAUCCUUUCCACUGACAAGGAGAAGGUGGAUCAGUUCACCAUGGAUGAAUUGGUCACCAAGUCCUUCCAUACCCUGGGCCAGGUACUAGGUUGUUUAUGUUUGGCUUUAUUUUUGUAGUCCUUUCUCGUUUUUAGCGUUCACAUAGGCUUAUACAUAGCAGACAGUUGUGCUCGUUUCUGCCCUUGCCCUUCAGAGCCAAGAUCAUCAAAAUGACUACUAUUUUCAGCUCGCCUAUGCUGACUAAACCGAGCUUGAAAUGGUUAAAUCUCAAAAUCGAGCUUUGAAGGUGGAGGACCAAUUGGCCGAUUUGGAUGAAUAGGUGAUGAAAACCUAGGCUGAGUUGAAGGAUAAAUCUGAAGCCAUGCCGUGGUUGCAGGCUGAGGUGGCUGAGCUUACAAGCAAACUAGCUCGAGCCAAGAAAGAUUUGUGCUUGACCCUUUGAUUGUAGUACUUGGCGAUUUGGUGCUUAUAAGCUGCUUGGCAUACUUCAGUUUUCUCCCUUAUUUCAUCAAGGAAGUCAAGGUUGAGCCUUAGCUCGGAUUCAUUGUUCUCCUUGUUGAAAUUCUAUCCCAUAUACCAUGUAGUAAGGUGUCUCACCUGUAGGGAUCCUACUUGUCGUAUGAUAGGCCCAAAUUAUACUCGGUAAAUCCUUUGUCCAUUUGCCUUUGGAUUUUUCCAAUCUUGUCUUCAAGUUUCUAAGGAUGUUUUGUUGAUCACUUCCACCUAGCCAUUUGCUUGAGGAUGACCGGGCGAAGAAAAAUGAUGCGAAUUGGCGAGGUCUGACAAAAAUUGUCUAAAUCCCUCAUUGUCGAAUCGUCUAGCAUUGUCCCAGAUGAGAACCUUAGGAACUCUGAAUCGGCAGAUGAUGCAUUUCCAUAUGAAAAUUCCUUGUGUUCUUUUUAGUGAUCUUGGCG
rnacentral:lncRNA from 1 species